UUGUCUCAAAGAUUAAGCCAUGCAUGUCUCAGUACAAGCCAAAUUAAGGUGAAACCGCGAAAGGCUCAUUAAAUCAGUUAUGGUUCCUUAGAUCGUACCCACAUUUACUUGGAUAACUGUGGUAAUUCUAGAGCUAAUACAUGCCAACAGAGCUCCGACCGGAAACGGAACGAGCGCUUUUAUUAGAUCAAAACCAAUCGGUGAUGUCUUCGGAUGUCAUCGUACAUAAUGGUGAAUCUGAAUAACUUUAAGCUGAUCGCACGGUCUCGCACCGGCGACGCAUCUUUCAAAUGUCUGCCUUAUCAACUGUCGAUGGUAGGUUCUGCGCCUACCAUGGUUGUAACGGGUAACGGGGAAUCAGGGUUCGAUUCCGGAGAGGGAGCCUGAGAAACGGCUACCACAUCCAAGGAAGGCAGCAGGCGCGCAAAUUACCCACUCCCGGCACGGGGAGGUAGUGACGAAAAAUAACGAUACGGGACUCAUCCGAGGCCCCGUAAUCGGAAUGAGUACACUCUAAACCCUUUAACGAGGAUCAAUUGGAGGGCAAGUCUGGUGCCAGCAGCCGCGGUAAUUCCAGCUCCAAUAGCGUAUAUUAAAGUUGUUGCGGUUAAAAAGCUCGUAGUCGAAUUUGUGUCGCGCACCGCCGGUUCAUCGUUCGCGGUGUUAACUGGCGUGUUUUGUGCGACGUCCUGCCGGUGGGCCCGCGCUCGCAAGAGUGUAGCCCAAUUUAAUCCUGCCGCGGUGCUCUUCAUUGAGUGUCGAGGUGGGCCGGCACGUUUACUUUGAACAAAUUAGAGUGCUUAAAGCAGGCUAAAAUUUCGCCUGAAUAUGUGUGCAUGGAAUAAUAGAAUAGGACCUCGGUUCUAUUUUGUUGGUUUUCGGAACCCCGAGGUAAUGAUUAAUAGGAACGGAUGGGGGCAUUCGUAUUGCGACGUUAGAGGUGAAAUUCUUGGACCGUCGCAAGACGGACAGAAGCGAAAGCAUUUGCCAAAAACGCUUUCAUUGAUCAAGAACGAAAGUUAGAGGUUCGAAGGCGAUCAGAUACCGCCCUAGUUCUAACCAUAAACGAUGCCAGCUAGCGAUCCGCCGACGUUCCUCCGAUGACUCGGCGGGCAGCUUCCGGGAAACCAAAGCUUUUGGGUUCCGGGGGAAGUAUGGUUGCAAAGCUGAAACUUAAAGGAAUUGACGGAAGGGCACCACCAGGAGUGGAGCCUGCGGCUUAAUUUGACUCAACACGGGAAACCUCACCAGGCCCGGACACCGGAAGGAUUGACAGAUUGAGAGCUCUUUCUUGAUUCGGUGGGUGGUGGUGCAUGGCCGUUCUUAGUUGGUGGAGCGAUUUGUCUGGUUAAUUCCGAUAACGAACGAGACUCUAGCCUGCUAAAUAGGCGUAUUUCGACAUCUUAAAGGCCCGCCGGUUCAGGAGUUCACGCUCAUGAAUCGCGCGCGGUUCUUACUGUCGGCGUACAAACAAUUCUUCUUAGAGGGACAGGCGGCUUCUAGCCGCACGAGAUUGAGCAAUAACAGGUCUGUGAUGCCCUUAGAUGUUCUGGGCCGCACGCGCGCUACACUGAAGGAAUCAGCGUGUUUUGUCCCUGGCCGAGCGGCCCGGGUAACCCGCUGAACCUCCUUCGUGCUAGGGAUUGGGGCUUGCAAUUUUUCCCCAUGAACGAGGAAUUCCCAGUAAGCGCGAGUCAUAAGCUCGCGUUGAUUACGUCCCUGCCCUUUGUACACACCGCCCGUCGCUACUACCGAUUGAAUGAUUUAGUGAGGUCUUCGGACCGGUGCGCGGUGGCGUUUUUGCGUUGCCGAUGUUGCUGGGAAGAUGACCAAACUUGAUCAUUU
rnacentral:rRNA from 1 species